rnacentral:hammerhead_ribozyme from 1 species
AUCCAACUGAAGAGGCUCAAACAGGAUGAAAUGCAUGUCCUGGAU